GAAUGCUGACAUAAGUAACGAUAAAGCGGGUGAAAAGCCCGCUCGCCGGAAGACCAAGGGUUCCUGUCCAACGUUAAUCGGGGCAGGGUGAGUCGACCCCUAAGGCGAGGCCGAAAGGCGUAGUCGAUGGGAAACGGGUUAAUAUUCCCGUACUUGGUGUUACUGCGAAGGGGGGACGGAGAAGGCUAUGUUGGCCGGGCGACGGUUGUCCCGGUUUAAGCGUGUAGGUGUGUGUUCCAGGUAAAUCCGGUUCACUUUAACACUGAGGCGUGACGACGAGGCACUACGGUGCUGAAGCAACAAAUGCCCUGCUUCCAGGAAAAGCCUCUAAGCAUCAGGUAACAUCAAAUCGUACCCCAAACCGACACAGGUGGUCAGGUAGAGAAUACCAAGGCGCUUGAGAGAACUCGGGUGAAGGAACUAGGCAAAAUGGUGCCGUAACUUCGGGAGAAGG
rnacentral:rRNA from 1 species